GCUCGUUUGCGAUUGAAGUAUCUUCAAUCAGUUCUAAGGAAGGAUAUUGAUUUUUUCGACACUGAAGCCAGAGACACUAACAUCAUUUUCCACAUUUCGAGUGAUGCUAUACUAGUCCAAGAUGCAAUAGGUGACAAGACAGGCCACACUUUGCGUUACCUUUCUUAGUUCAUUGUAGGAUUUUCCAUUGGAUUUGCAUCGGUGUGGCAGCUUACGCUUCUUACCUUAGCUGUGUUUCCACUGAUAGCUCUUGCAGGGGGAGACUAUACCAUAGUCAUGUCAAGCUUAUCAGAAAAAGGUGAGGCUGCUUAUGCUGAAGCUGGAAAAGUUGCUGAAGAGGUGAUUUCGCAGAUUCGUACUGUGUACUCAUUUGUGGGAGAGGACAAAGCAAUUGAAACAUACUCUCAGUCACUUCUCAAGGCACUCAAACUUGGUGAGAAAGGUGGGCUUGCUAAGGGAUGUAGGCCUUACAUAUGGACUGUUGUUUUGUGCUUGGGCAUUGCUUCUCUGGUAUGCCAGCAUACUUGUAAGACAUCAUGACACAAAUGGAGGCAAAGCAUUUACAACAAUCAUCAAUGUCAUCGUCAGUGGAUUGUAAGUUUUAUACUCAAAACAUGUAAUAAUGGGGUUCUUGAAUUUGAAAAUCUACUGAAAAUAAACCUUUAAUUUUGUAGUGCUCUUGGCCAAGCUACCCCAAACCUGGCUGCCAUUUCUAAAGGCCGAGCUGCUGCUGCAAAUAUCAUGAAGAUGAUUGAAUCAGAUUCUAACUCCUCUAAAGUAUCAGACAAAGGAGUAGUGUUGCCAAAAGUAUCAGGGCAUAUUGUGUUUUCUAAUGUUUGUUUUGCCUAUCCAUCACGACCCAACAUGGUGUUCGAAAACCUGAGCUUU